GUGGGGAAUUUUGGACAAUGGGGGAAACCCUGAUCCAGCCAUCCCGCGUGUAUGAUGAAGGCCUUCGGGUUGUAAAGUACUUUUGGCAGAGAAGAAAAGGUACCUCCUAAUACGAGGUACUGCUGACGGUAUCUGCAGAAUAAGCACCGGCUAACUACGUGCCAGCAGCCGCGGUAAUACGUAGGGUGCAAGCGUUAAUCGGAAUUACUGGGCGUAAAGCGUGUGUAGGCGGUUCGGAAAGAAAGAUGUGAAAUCCCAGGGCUCAACCUUGGAACUGCAUUUUUAACUGCCGAGCUAGAGUAUGUCAGAGGGGGGUAGAAUUCCACGUGUAGCAGUGAAAUGCGUAGAUAUGUGGAGGAAUACCGAUGGCGAAGGCAGCCCCCUGGGAUAAUACUGACGCUCAGACACGAAAGCGUGGGGAGCAAACAGG
rnacentral:rRNA from 1 species